CAGAUAGAGGCGCGGGCUUCAUGAGUAGCCCUCGGCAAGGCCAGGCAGCCGCCGGGGAGGAAAGGGGAGACCGCCGAAGCAGAGCGCUGCUGCCUGGCGGCCUUCUGCUGGGUCGAAGGAGAAGAUCCUUCGGACUGUCACAAGUUUUGUGAAGCGCUAUCGA
rnacentral:ncRNA from 1 species